GUGCCAGCAGCCGCGGUAAUAUGGAGGGUGCGAGCGUUAAUCGGAAUUACUGGGCGUAAAGCGCAUGCAGGUGGUUCAUUAAGUCAGAUGUGAAAGCCCGGGGCUCAACCUCGGAACUGCAUUUGAAACUGGUGAACUAGAGUGCUGUAGAGGGGGGUAGAAUUUCAGGUGUAGCGGUGAAAUGCGUAGCGUAUGUGAAGGAAUACCAGUGGCGAAGGCGGCCCCCUGGACAGACACUGACACUCAGA
rnacentral:rRNA from 1 species